rnacentral:rRNA from 1 species
GACGAACGCUGGCGGCGUGCUUAACACAUGCAAGUCGAACGAUGGAGCCCAGCUUGCUGGGUGGAUUAGUGGCGAACGGGUGAGUAAUACGUGAGUAACCUGCCUUUAACUCUGGGAUAAGCCUUGGAAACGAGGUCUAAUACCGGAUACGACCAGUUCCCGCAUGGGAUGCUGGUGGAAAGGGAUAUGUACUGGUUUUUAGAUGGGCUCACGGCCUAUCAGCUUGUUGGUGAGGUAACGGCUCACCAAGGCGACGACGGGUAGCCGGCCUGAGAGGGUGACCGGCCACACUGGGGACUGAGACACGGGCCCAGACUCCUACGGGA